GUGGAUGAGGAAGCCAAGAAGAGUGGGAUCUCUUGCCUGCAGGGAGACUUUCCUCCCUCUCCUUCUCUUGGUAGGUCUCUUCCCUCCUUCCCCUCUUUCUUUCUCACCCCCACAAAAAACCCUUCUUUGUUGAGCUCUUUCUCAGCUGAAAUGGCAGUGCCUGGGUGUUCAGAGCUGACAAUAAUUGCAGAGUCUAGACAGUGUCUGGUAUGAGGCACACACAGAAAUCAAAGAGGCCUCUCUCUCUCUCUCUGACUUCCACAGAUGCUCUUGUGGACGGGGGCCAUCCCCCUCCUUGAGCACCCAUGCACUUCUCUGUGGCCCUUUCACCCCUCACAAUUUCUCACAUCCCUCUUUCCUUGGUGUCCCCACAAGGGACUCCCCUCUUUCUUUUGUUAAGAUAUUGUACCCUUCCCCAGUCCUGAAAAAGGCUAGAGGGCCACAAAUCUUCAAUGAGGUUCUUUGAUACUCUGGAAUACACAGAAAACAAGACAUGUUUGCUGCACAUCCAGCAAUUUUCCUAUUAUUAUUAUUAUUAUUAUUAUUAUUAUUAUUCUAAUUUCAAAUUCAACACACGCCUGCUGUGUGUGUUGGCAGAUAUGUAAUCUGGCAGAUUAUAUAUUGUUGUUGAUAUCCGUAUGCCUUGAGAGACAAUGGAGUGUGCUUCUGAGGUAAAGUCAAGCUGCUGGGGAAUCACAGCGCCUGCUGUGGCUGCAGAGACUGGUAGCUUUAAACUGCUGCCUCUGGUGUUGUUUUUGCCACAUUAGCAGUACUGAAGCGACUCUCUGGGGUGCAAGCCUGGGCAGUGUGUAUGGAGGUCCUGGGCUGCCCAGAGAACAAGACCCCCCCCCCGGCCUACUGAUUCAGUCCCAAGGAAAGGAAAGCAAUACAUCUGGCAUCAGCUUGACUGCAGGAGUUGCUAGAAGGAGGCGUAUAGGACACCAUCCAACCACUUUAGGGAAUCCACUCCGGAUAUGUGCAGGGUUUCCUCCUUAGCCUUUUCUUCUCCUAAAGAUAGCCUACAAGGCAGUGGAAGUUUAGGAUCAGAGUUUACCUUCUCCGAGAUGGGCUUGCUUCCCAGGUUGGUAAGCCCUAUCUGCCCCUCUCCAGGACAUGCAGAAACCAUCUUCUUGACUGUUGGACCCACUGUUGGUUUCGUCAGCUUAAUCUGCUGGAGGUCCCUAACACAUCAAGGGUUUAAGACCCAUUGGCUACCCUUGUUUAGCUGGCCAGUCAAAGUGGUUUCCCGGAGUGUGGCCACUGUCACACAUUGACAGCUUCUAGGAGCCACAACUGAGAGCUGAGUGGAAGGUGGAGACCAAACGUAAGGAUAAACUACCCCAGAGGGAGCAUGAGGUACCUCUCAGCAGAGAUACUAUCCCUCCCCUAAGACCCCCUGCACACCAGAUUACAAAUUAUGAUUAUGAUGAUAAUUUUAAUUUUUGUACUGCUUCCCAUUUCAAAUCCUUCCCAGUGGACGAUGAUGGACUCAGACUUCAUAUAAGCCACAUUUUAAGCACAUGGAUUUUCCCUCAACCCCCCCUCCAAAUAAUAAUCUGCGGGAGCAUCAUUGAUCAUUUUGAGCUGAACCUAGGCCUUGGGUUAUGCUUGAACCCACCUACACUUCACCCUGGGCCACCGAGGCUCAUUUGGUAACAAGAAGAAUCCGGACCUUUAGCAUCAUUGGCACAGUCCUGUGGAACACUCGGCCAAUAGAGAGCCAGCAGGCACCUCCUGUGCCAACUUUCAAACACGUGCUGAAACCUUUUCUAUUCUGACAGGCC